rnacentral:rRNA from 1 species
UACGGAGGGUGCGAGCGUUGUCCGGAAUCAUUGGGCGUAAAGGGCGCGUAGGUGGCCCGGUCAGUCUUUGGUGAAAGCGCGGGGCUCAACCCUGCGUCGGCCAGGGAUACUGCCGCGGCUCGAGCACUGUAGAGGCAGGCGGAAUUCCGGGUGUAGCGGUGGAAUGCGUAGAGAUCCGGAAGAACACCGGUGGCGAAGGCGGCCUGCUGGGCAGUUGCUGACACUGAGGCGCGACAGCGUGGGGAGCAACAGG